AGAGUUUGAUCAUGGCUCAGGAUAAACGCUGGCGGCAUGCCUAAUACAUGCAAGUCGAACGGGGGUGCUUGCACCCCAGUGGCGAACGGGUGAGUAACACGUAUUCAAUCUACCUUAAAGUGGGGGAUAACCUUUGGAAACGAAGGAUAAUACCGCAUAAUAACUUCAUUAUGGCAUCAGAAGAAGUUUAAAGAUCCGUUUGGAUCGCUUUAAAAUGAGAAUGCGGCGUAUUAGCUAGUAGGUGAGAUAAUAGCCCACCUAGGCAAUGAUACGUAGCCGAACUGAGAGGUUGAUCGGCCACAUUGGGACUGAGAUACGGCCCAGACUCCUACGGGAGGCAGCAGUAGGGAAUUUUUCACAAUGGACGAAAGUCUGAUGAAGCAAUGCCGCGUGAGUGAUGACGGUCUUCGGAUUGUAAAGCUCUGUUGUAAGGGAAGAAAAUUUGGAAGAGGAAAUGCUUUCGAACUUGACGGUACCUUACCAGAAAGCCACGGCUA
rnacentral:rRNA from 1 species